rnacentral:rRNA from 1 species
GACGAACGCUGGCGGCGUGCUUAACACAUGCCAGUCGAACGGAAAGGCCCUGCUUUUGUGGGGUGCUCGAGUGGCGAACGGGUGAGUAACACGUGAGUAACCUGCCCUUGACUUUGGGAUAACUUCAGGAAACUGGGGCUAAUACCGGAUAGGAGCUCCUGCUGCAUGGUGGGGGUUGGAAAGUUUCGGCGGUUGGGGAUGGACUCGCGGCUUAUCAGCUUGUUGGUGGGGUAGUGGCUUACCAAGGCUUUGACGGGUAGCCGGCCUGAGAGGGUGACCAGCCACAUUGGGACUGAGAUACGGCCCAGACUCCUACGGGAGGCAGCAGUGGGGAAUAUUGCACAAUGGGCGGAAGCCUGAUGCAGCAACGCCGCGUGCGGGAUGACGGCCUUCGGGUUGUAAACCGCUUUCGCCUGUGACGAAGCGUGAGUGACGGUAAUGGGUAAAGAAGCACCGGCUAACUACGUG